rnacentral:lncRNA from 1 species
GGAGGCGUUCUCCGGCUUCAACGUGGACGCGGUCGCCAAGUACACCGAGAAGCAGAUGGCGUUGCUGAGCACCGACUUCGGCCUGGACUUGGGCACCGUCAGAGGGACCGUCAACAACGCCUGCCGGAUUCUCGAGGUACCGUCCAUUAUCGACAUAUUUUCACUUCAAAUACUCGUUCGAUAAUCGCUGUCAGAAAUCUAAGUGCCAAGGUAGCGAGGUUUAGGAUCAGAACGUCCUAAAUCUGAGCUUUUAACCCUCAAAAAAUCCAAAACCUGCGUGUUGUUUUUGGUACUAGUUGGUAGUGCUUUUUCGAUCGGUUGGGCCUGACAAGAUACUAGUAGUUCAAGUUCCAGUACCAUCUCACAACCGAAGCAUAACCGAAAGAUGAUAGGAGGCGGUCAAUGAAUGAAGGCAGCCUACGAAAUGAAACCCGUUAGCAACAAGUGAAAGCGAAGCCUAACAGAAUCCCUGUCCCCCCUGAUUGGUAGACAGCUCAAUGAAGAAGAAGCAGCUAUGCUAAGCUAGCGUCGCCCCUUUAUUAAAGGUGACCACAUUGCCGAUGCAGAGCAAGUGCGUCGUAAAGCAGCUGGACACAGCCAAAAAGAGUGAGAGAGCCCUUCCUAAUGGGCGUUUUGGUGGCAAGGAAAAGAUGCUAACCGUACUUGCUUUGUUGUCAUGCCUUUUAGUUUAACGAGCUCGCUUCACAUUCUCACAAAAUGAUAUCCUCGGUGACUGGUAGGUGGUAGAGUACUGCACACUAAUCCGUUGCUGACAUUGUUCCAUUUUCCAAAACGGGACUGUGAGCCGGUUCCCACUAACCACCAACAUACGAAUAACAGCUUGCUUAUACUAUAGUAGCUUUGUGACAAUAUACAUGGCAGGGGAAUGAUAGAAAUGUGAUGGCGUUGCAGGUGCGGAGGGACUUUGGGUCGCUGGACAAGUACGUGUGGGCAUUCGUGAACAACAAGCCGCUGUCGCCGGGGUACAAGUACAGCCGGAAAAUCCCGGUGAAGACGUCCAAGUCGGAGUCCAUCAGCAAGGACAUGGUGCGCCGGGGCUUCCGCUUCGUCGGCCCCACCGUCAUCCACUCCUUCAUGCAGGCCGUCGGGCUCACAAACGACCACCUCGUCUCCUGCCCACGCCACCGCGCCUGCUCCACCUCCGCCGCCGCCGCCGGCCGCGCUAACUGAUUCUUCUUCUGACCACCGCCGACCGAGACCAAGCCAGCGGCAGGACACGAGGACGAGACGACUUCUCAAGUAUAAGAAUGAUGGACAAGACGAGAGAGAAAAGAAAGAAAGAUAGCAUCGAGUAGUACGGCUAGUAUACGAAAAGAGAGUGUUG